GGAGAGAUGUCCGAGUGGUCGAAGGUGCGACUCUCGAAAAGUCGUGUUCCUAACGGAACCGUGGGUUCGAAUCCCACUCUCUCCGCCA
rnacentral:tRNA from 4 species